CUCUCUCUCUCUCUCUCUCUCUCCCCCAAUUUAAUUCAUUCUCUAUUUCAUUCGAUAGCAUUUUCACUCAAAGUAUUUGGACCAUACCCCAAAGAUAAAGAAGAAGAAGAAGAAGAGAUAAUGGUGAAGACGAAACCAAGAGGAUUGUUGCUCUUUCUUCUUAUCUUCUUCACUGUGUUUCUUGGAGAUUUUGUUGCUAAAGGCUCAAGAACCCGGGCUAUCGAAAAAACUCUCUCGCAACUAGAUCUCGCGGAGAGGAAUUCAUGGAGGAGGAUGAUGAUAGGAUCGACGGCGCCAACUUGUACGUACAAUGAGUGCAGAGGAUGCAAAUACAAAUGCAGAGCCGAGCAAGUGCCGGUCGAAGGCAAUGACCCUAUCAACAGUGCUUACCAUUACAAAUGUGUAUGCCACAGAUAAUAUCUAUAUAUAACCCUUUUUUUUUAUUAUAUAUCUUUAUUUUGUUCUUUCCAUGUCGAAAUUUUUGUAUCCAUCUUCUCGAAAAAAAACUUUUGCUGGGAUUCCAACGAGGCAUGUUUAGAUACAUAAUUACUAUAUAUUAUAUUUAGUCUUACUGUUUUUUUUUAUGUC